ACUUAAAUUGAAGAGUUUGAUCAUGGCUCAGAUUGAACGCUGGCGGCAGGCCUAACACAUGCAAGUCGAGCGGUAGCACAGAGAGCUUGCUCUCGGGUGACGAGCGGCGGACGGGUGAGUAAUGUCUGGGAAACUGCCUGAUGGAGGGGGAUAACUACUGGAAACGGUAGCUAAUACCGCAUAACGUCGCAAGACCAAAGUGGGGGACCUUCGGGCCUCAUGCCAUCAGAUGUGCCCAGAUGGGAUUAGCUAGUAGGUGGGGUAACGGCUCACCUAGGCGACGAUCCCUAGCUGGUCUGAGAGGAUGACCAGCCACACUGGAACUGAGACACGGUCCAGACUCCUACGGGAGGCAGCAGUGGGGAAUAUUGCACAAUGGGCGCAAGCCUGAUGCAGCCAUGCCGCGUGUGUGAAGAAGGCCUUCGGGUUGUAAAGCACUUUCAGCGGGGAGGAAGGCGAUAAGGUUAAUAACCUUGUCGAUUGACGUUACCCGCAGAAGAAGCACCGGCUAACUCCGUGCCAGCAGCCGCGGUAAUACGGAGGGUGCAAGCGUUAAUCGGAAUUACUGGGCGUAAAGCGCACGCAGGCGGUCUGUCAAGUCGGAUGUGAAAUCCCCGGGCUCAACCUGGGAACUGCAUUCGAAACUGGCAGGCUAGAGUCUUGUAGAGGGGGGUAGAAUUCCAGGUGUAGCGGUGAAAUGCGUAGAGAUCUGGAGGAAUACCGGUGGCGAAGGCGGCCCCCUGGACAAAGACUGACGCUCAGGUGCGAAAGCGUGGGGAGCAAACAGGAUUAGAUACCCUGGUAGUCCACGCUGUAAACGAUGUCGAUUUGGAGGUUGUGCCCUUGAGGCGUGGCUUCCGGAGCUAACGCGUUAAAUCGACCGCCUGGGGAGUACGGCCGCAAGGUUAAAACUCAAAUGAAUUGACGGGGGCCCGCACAAGCGGUGGAGCAUGUGGUUUAAUUCGAUGCAACGCGAAGAACCUUACCUGGUCUUGACAUCCACAGAACUUAGCAGAGAUGCUUUGGUGCCUUCGGGAACUGUGAGACAGGUGCUGCAUGGCUGUCGUCAGCUCGUGUUGUGAAAUGUUGGGUUAAGUCCCGCAACGAGCGCAACCCUUAUCCUUUGUUGCCAGCGGUUAGGCCGGGAACUCAAAGGAGACUGCCAGUGAUAAACUGGAGGAAGGUGGGGAUGACGUCAAGUCAUCAUGGCCCUUACGACCAGGGCUACACACGUGCUACAAUGGCAUAUACAAAGAGAAGCGACCUCGCGAGAGCAAGCGGACCUCAUAAAGUAUGUCGUAGUCCGGAUUGGAGUCUGCAACUCGACUCCAUGAAGUCGGAAUCGCUAGUAAUCGUAGAUCAGAAUGCUACGGUGAAUACGUUCCCGGGCCUUGUACACACCGCCCGUCACACCAUGGGAGUGGGUUGCAAAAGAAGUAGGUAGCUUAACCUUCGGGAGGGCGCUUACCACUUUGUGAUUCAUGACUGGGGUGAAGUCGUAACAAGGUAACCGUAGGGGAACCUGCGGUUGGAUCACCUCCUUACCUUAAAGAA
rnacentral:rRNA from 1 species